GACGAACCGUGCGAACGUUGUUCGGAAUCACUGGGCUUAAAGGGCGCGUAGGCGGCUUGCCAAGUCCGGGGUGAAAGCCCCCAGCUCAACUGGGGAAGGGCCUCGGAUACUGGCGAGCUCGAGGGAGGUAGGGGUCGAGGGAACUUCUGGUGGAGCGGUGAAAUGCGUUGAUAUCAGAAGGAACGCCGGUGGCGAAAGCGCUCGACUGGAUCUCUACUGAGCUGAGGCGCGAAAGCUAGGGGAGCGAACGGG
rnacentral:rRNA from 1 species